GCAACGGUUGAGUAUAAGAGCUAAUCUGAAACGGAAUAGCAAAGUAAUGGCGAAAACAAUAGGAGGAGAAAACAAAGGAGCGAUUUACAAGACAGAAACGAGAGUGUCACGAACAAGGCAAAAAGUCUCACUGCUAAAAUUCUGGAGGUGAAACAACAUCUGGCAGAGGCCAAGGCUCGCACUAUGGCUGCACAAGCUUUGAUCCAUGCAUCCACUAUCAAGUCAAAGAGAAAUGAAAGCGAUUCCAAGUAAAUCGGUCAUUUAAAGUUUUUGUGGACAUUUUUUCUUAUUUUCAAUAUUUUACU